rnacentral:rRNA from 1 species
CAAAAUGACUCUCGGCAACGGAUAUCUCGGCUCUCGCAUCGAUGAAGAACGUAGCGAAAUGCGAUACUUGGUGUGAAUUGCAGAAUCCCGUGAACCAUCGAGUCUUUGAACGCAAGUUGCGCCCAAAGCCAUUAGGCUGAGGGCACGUCUGCCUGGGUGUCAAA